rnacentral:misc_RNA from 1 species
GAAAGAUGAAAUUAAAAGAGCAUUUAAUGAAUUUGAGACUCCGAAUAGGCAGAUUAAAUGUUUAAGAAAUAAGCAACUCUACUACCAUCUUUUAGGAUUAUUUUAAAAGAUGUCUAGGAAGCCUGAUAUGGAAGACUGGGGCUAAGUUAUAAAGAUCCCUUUUCGGCGAGUGGCUCAACAAAAGGCCAUAUUCCCAUGAUUAUUUAUGAGCAUCAUAAGCUCCAGGCUACGCAUGCCUGAAGAGCAUUUUGGUAUUGGAAAAAAAGGUUCUUGCUCCUCGCCAAUAUAAUUUGUGGUCCUACAGGUCUCCCUUUUAGGCCAUUUAUACUUCCAGCAUUAUGUGGAAGAAAUUUCUUACAGCACAUACCAAUUCAACCAAGUGCCAACCGUUCGCCCCACAAGCCACAAUCAAAU